rnacentral:rRNA from 1 species
AUGGGGUGACUGCGUACCUUUUGUAUAAUGGGUCAGCGACUUAUAUUCUGUAGCAAGGUUAACCGUAUAGGGGAGCCGUAGGGAAACCGAGUCUUAACUGGGCGAAUGAGUUGCAGGGUAUAGACCCGAAACCCGGUGAUCUAUCCAUGGGCAGGUUGAAGGUUGGGUAACACUAACUGGAGGACCGAACCGACUAAUGUUGAAAAAUUAGCGGAUGACUUGUGGAUGGGGGUGAAAGGCCAAUCAAACCGGGAGAUAGCUGGUUCUCCCCGAAAGCUAUUUAGGUAGCGCCUCGUGAACUCAUCUUCGGGGGUAGAGCACUGUUUCGACUAGGGGGUCAUCCCGACUUACCAACUCGAUGCAAACUGCGAAUACCGAAGAAUGUUAUCACGGGAGACACACGGCGGGUGCUAACGUCCGUCGUGAAGAGGGAAACAACCCAGACCGCCAGCUAAGGUCCCAAAGUCAUGGUUAAGUGGGAAACGAAGUGGGAAGGCUCAGACAGCCAGGAUGUUGGCUUAGAAGCAGCCAUCAUUUAAAGAAAGCGUAAUAGCUCACUGGUCGAGUCGGCCCGCGCGGAAGAUGUAACGGGGCUAAACCAUGCACCGAAGCUGCGGCAGCGACACAAAGUGUUGUUGGGUAGGGGAGCGUUCUGUAAGCCUGCGAAGGUGUACUGUGAGGUAUGCUGGAGGUAUCAGAAGUGCGAAUGCUGACAUAAGUAACGAUAAUGCGGGUGAAAAACCCGCACGCCGGAAGACCAAGGGUUCCUGUCCAACGUUAAUCGGGGCAGGGUGAGUCGACCCCUAAGGCGAGGCUGAAAAGCGUAGUCGAUGGGAAACGGGUUAAUAUUCCCGUACUGGUGGUAACUGCGAUGGGGGAACGGAGAAGGCUAGGUUGUCCGGGCGACGGUCGUCCCGGUUCAAGCAGGUAGGCAGAGUGAUUAGGCAAAUCCGGUCACUUAAUGCUGAGAUGUGAUGACGAACCACCAAGGUGGUGAAGCAAUUGAUGCCCCGCUUCCAGGAAAAGCCUCUAAGCUUCAGGUUACCAACAAUCGUACCCCAAACCGACACAGGUGGUCAGGUAGAGAAUACUCAGGCGCUUGAGAGAACUCGGGUGAAGGAACUAGGCAAAAUGGUGCCGUAACUUCGGGAGAAGGCACGCUGGCGGUAGGUAAAGUCCCUCGCGGACGGCGCUGAAGCCAGUCGAAGAUACCAGCUGGCUGCAACUGUUUAUUAAAAACACAGCACUGUGCAAACACGAAAGUGGACGUAUACGGUGUGACGCCUGCCCGGUGCUGGAAGGUUAAUUGAUGGGGUCAGCCGCAAGGCGAAGCUCCUGAUCGAAGCCCCAGUAAACGGCGGCCGUAACUAUAACGGUCCUAAGGUAGCGAAAUUCCUUGUCGGGUAAGUUCCGACCUGCACGAAUGGCGUAAUGAUGGCCAGGCUGUCUCCACCCGAGACUCAGUGAAAUUGAACUCGCUGUGAAGAUGCAGUGUACCCGCGGCAAGACGGAAAGACCCCGUGAACCUUUACUAUAGCUUGACACUGAACAUUGAGCCUUGAUGUGUAGGAUAGGUGGGAGGCUUUGAAGUGUGGACGCCAGUCUGCAUGGAGCCAACCUUGAAAUACCACCCUUUAACGUUUGAUGUUCUAACCUAGGCCCAUAAACUGGGUCGGGGACCGUGUCUGGUGGGUAGUUUGACUGGGGCGGUCUCCUCCUAAAGAGUAACGGAGGAGCACGAAGGUUGGCUAAGCAUGGUCGGACAUCAUGCGGUUAGUGCAAAGGCAUAAGCCAGCUUGACUGCGAGAGUGACGGCUCGAGCAGGUACGAAAGUAGGUCUUAGUGAUCCGGUGGUUCUGAAUGGAAGGGCCAUCGCUCAACGGAUAAAAGGUACUCCGGGGAUAACAGGCUGAUACCGCCCAAGAGUUCAUAUCGACGGCGGUGUUUGGCACCUCGAUGUCGGCUCAUCACAUCCUGGGGCUGAAGUAGGUCCCAAGGGUAUGGCUGUUCGCCAUUUAAAGUGGUACGCGAGCUGGGUUUAGAACGUCGUGAGACAGUUCGGUCCCUAUCUGCCGUGGGCGUUGGAAGAUUGAGAGGGGUUGCUCCUAGUACGAGAGGACCGGAGUGAACGCACCACUGGUGUUCGGGUUGUCAUGCCAAUGGCAUUGCCCGGUAGCUAAGUGCGGAAGAGAUAACCGCUGAAAGCAUCUAAGCGGGAAACUUGCCUCGAGAUGAGUCUUCCCUGUCGCUUUAAGUGACCUAAAGGAACGUUUAAGACUAAGACGUUGAUAGGCUGGGUGUGUAAGCGUAGCGAUACGUUGAGCUAACCAGUACUAAUGAACCGUGAGGCUUAACCUG